ACCUAAAUGGCUCAGUCAGUAGAGCAUGUGACUCUUGAUCUCAGGGACAUGAGUUGGAGCCCCAUACUGGGUG
rnacentral:tRNA from 1 species